UAAUACGUAGGGGGCUAGCGUUGUCCGGAAUCAUUGGGCGUAAAGCGCGUGUAGGCGGUCCGGUAAGUCCGCUGUGAAAGUCGGGGGCUCAACCCUCGGAUGCCGGUGGAUACUGUCGGGCUUGAGUACGGAAGAGGCGAGUGGAAUUCCUGGUGUAGCGGUGAAAUGCGCAGAUAUCAGGAGGAACACCAAUUGCGAAGGCAGCUCGCUGGGACGUUACUGACGCUGAGACGCGAAAGCGUGGGGAGCAAACAGGA
rnacentral:rRNA from 1 species